CGCAGCCGCGGUAAUUCCAGCUCCAAUAGCGUAUAUUAAAGUUGUUGCAGUUAAAAAGCUCGUAGUUGAAUUUCGGAAUUUGUCGGUUGGUCGGGCUUCACUGUCCGCACUGACCUGAUGGAUUCCUACCUUCUGAAUAACCAGCAUGCUAUUAAGUUAGUGCGUUGGGGAAGCAGAGCUAUUACCUUGAAAAAAUUAGAGUGCUUAAAGCAGGCUUGUGCUUGAAUAGAUUAGCAUGGAAUAAUAAAAUAGGACGGCAUGGUUCUAUUUUGUUGGUUUCUAGGAUCACCGUAAUGAUUAAUAGGGAUAGUUGGGGGCAUUAGUAUUCAAUUGUCAGAGGUGAAAUUCUUGGAUUUAUUGAAGACUAAACUUCUGCGAAAGCAUUUGCCAAGGAUGUUUUCAUUAAUCAAGAACGAAAGUUAGGGGAUCGAAGACGAUCAGAUACCGUCG
rnacentral:rRNA from 1 species